CUCUGGACAGGUUUUGAUAAAUCUCCCUCAUAUAUGUAACUAUGUAACUUCAUUUAAAAUUGUAUAUAAACAAAUGGUCCAAAAUAGUGAACUAUCGCAGUUCACUAUUAGGUAGAUGUUAUAGCAGGACAGUUACUUGCAGAUAUGGGAAAUGCUGCCAACACACCAGCAGUUUUCUACUGCAUUAAUUUGCAAAGAACACAAGCUGUAUUCUGCAAGUAAUCUCAAGCACUCCACCACCUGGCAUUCUCUAUAGCCAGCUACUUGCCAUCCAGGGAGAUUUAUGGAGGUUCAUGAGUAGGGUUCAAAGUGGACAGUGAACCACAAAUGAACUCAGACUUACAUUACAUUGGGUACGUUUGAUGAUGCAGCCAUAGAACUCAUUAGGAAACUAUGUGAGGUUGGGUGACAAGAAAGACAUCAAGAUAAUAGGAGCAGAACUCAUCUACAUUAUUUUUCCAUUUGUUUUGCCAAAACAAUGUUUUGAAAACAUUCUAAUUCUGCUAUAAUAAUCAGUCUACAAUGUAUAUCAACGACAUUUAAUUAAAAGAAUGAUACAAUAUUCAAUUAUGUUUUAGAAUAUAGUGAUCAUUGUUUGGUUACA